GGGUGAUUAGCUCAGCUGGUAGAGCAUCUGCCUUACAAGCAGAGGGUCGGCGGUUCGAUCCCGUCAUCACCCACCA
rnacentral:tRNA from 1 species